rnacentral:rRNA from 1 species
CCUACGUGCGGCAGCAGUGGGGAAUAUUGGACAAUGGGCGAAAGCCUGAUCCAGCCAUGCCGCGUGUGUGAAGAAGGCCUUCGGGUUGUAAAGCACUUUCAGUGGGGAAGAAAGCCUUGGGGCUAAUACCCUCGAGGAAGGACAUCACCCACAGAAGAAGCACCGGCUAACUCCGUGCAGCAGCCGCGGUAAUACGGAGGGUGCGAGCGUUAAUCGGAAUUACUGGGCGUAAAGCGCGCGUAGGCGGUCUGAUAAGCCGGUUGUGAAAGCCCCGGGCUCAACCUGGGAACGGCAUCCGGAACUGUCAGGCCAGAGUGCAGGAGAGGAAGGUAGAAUUCCCGGUGUAGCGGUGAAAUGCGUAGAGAUCGGGAGGAAUACCAGUGGCGAAGGCGGCCUUCUGGACUGACACUGACGCUGAGGUGCGAAAGCGUGGGUAGCAAACAGGAUUAGAUACCCCGGUAGUC